GAUGAACGCUGGCGGCGUGCCUAAUACAUGCAAGUCGAGCGAACAGACGAGGAGCUUGCUCCUCUGACGUUAGCGGCGGACGGGUGAGUAACACGUGGAUAACCUACCUAUAAGACUGGGAUAACUUCGGGAAACCGGAGCUAAUACCGGAUAAUAUAUUGAACCGCAUGGUUCAAUAGUGAAAGACGGUGUUGCUGUCACUUAUAGAUGGAUCCGCGCCGCAUUAGCUAGUUGGUAAGGUAACGGCUUACCAAGGCGACGAUGCGUAGCCGACCUGAGAGGGUGAUCGCCCACACUGGAACUGAGACACGGUCCAGACUCCUACGGGAGGCAGCAGUAGGGAAUCUUCCGCAAUGGGCGAAAGCCUGACGGAGCAACGCCGCGUGAGUGAUGAAGGUCUUCGGAUCGUAAAACUCUGUUAUUAGGGAAGAACAAAUGUGUAAGUAACUAUGCACGUCUUGACGGUACCUAAUCAGAAAGCCACGGCUAACUACGUG
rnacentral:rRNA from 1 species